rnacentral:siRNA from 1 species
UCAAUUUCCAAACCCUUGCAGCAU